AGAGUUUGAUCCUGGCUCAGGACGAACGCUGGCGGCGUGCCUAAUACAUGCAAGUAGAACGCUGAAGAGAGGAGCUUGCUCUUCUUGGAUGAGUUGCGAACGGGUGAGUAACGCGUAGGUAACCUGCCUUGUAGCGGGGGAUAACUAUUGGAAACGAUAGCUAAUACCGCAUAACAAUGGAUGACUCAUGUCAUUUAUUUGAAAGGGGCAAAUGCUCCACUACAAGAUGGACCUGCGUUGUAUUAGCUAGUAGGUGAGGUAACGGCUCACCUAGGCGACGAUACAUAGCCGACCUGAGAGGGUGAUCGGCCACACUGGGACUGAGACACGGCCCAGACUCCUACGGGAGGCAGCAGUAGGGAAUCUUCGGCAAUGGGGGCAACCCUGACCGAGCAACGCCGCGUGAGUGAAGAAGGUUUUCGGAUCGUAAAGCUCUGUUGUAAGUCAAGAACGAGUGUGAGAGUGGAAAGUUCACACUGUGACGGUAGCUUACCAGAAAGGGACGGCUAACUACGUGCCAGCAGCCGCGGUAAUACGUAGGUCCCGAGCGUUGUCCGGAUUUAUUGGGCGUAAAGCGAGCGCAGGCGGUUUGAUAAGUCUGAAGUUAAAGGCUGUGGCUCAACCAUAGUUCGCUUUGGAAACUGUCAAACUUGAGUGCAGAAGGGGAGAGUGGAAUUCCAUGUGUAGCGGUGAAAUGCGUAGAUAUAUGGAGGAACACCGGUGGCGAAAGCGGCUCUCUGGUCUGUAACUGACGCUGAGGCUCGAAAGCGUGGGGAGCGAACAGGAUUAGAUACCCUGGUAGUCCACGCCGUAAACGAUGAGUGCUAGGUGUUGGAUCCUUUCCGGGAUUCAGUGCCGCAGCUAACGCAUUAAGCACUCCGCCUGGGGAGUACGACCGCAAGGUUGAAACUCAAAGGAAUUGACGGGGGCCCGCAC
rnacentral:rRNA from 1 species